GAUGAACGCUGGCGGCGUGCCUAAUACAUGCAAGUCGAGCGAACAGAUAAGGAGCUUGCUCCUUUGACGUUAGCGGCGGACGGGUGAGUAACACGUGGGUAACCUACCUAUAAGACUGGGAUAACUUCGGGAAACCGGAGCUAAUACCGGAUAAUAUUUCGAACCGCAUGGUUCGAUAGUGAAAGAUGGUUUUGCUAUCACUUAUAGAUGGACCCGCGCCGUAUUAGCUAGUUGGUAAGGUAACGGCUUACCAAGGCGACGAUACGUAGCCGACCUGAGAGGGUGAUCGGCCACACUGGAACUGAGACACGGUCCAGACUCCUACGGGAGGCAGCAGUAGGGAAUCUUCCGCAAUGGGCGAAAGCCUGACGGAGCAACGCCGCGUGAGUGAUGACGGUCUUCGGAUCGUAAAACUCUGUUAUUAGGGAAGAACAUACGUGUAAGUAACUGUGCACGUCUUGACGGUACCUAAUCAGAAAGCCACGGCUAACUACGUG
rnacentral:rRNA from 1 species